rnacentral:rRNA from 1 species
GAUCCUGGCUCAGGAUGAACGCUAGCGGCAGGCUAACACAUGCAAGUCGAGGGGCAGCGGGAUGUAGCAAUACAUUGCCGGCGACCGGCGGAUGGGUGCGUAACGCGUAUGCAACCUACCUUAUACAGGGGAAUAACCUUUCGAAAGGGAGACUAACACCCCAUGGUAUUGAUUUAAGGCAUCUUAGAUUAAUUAAAUAUUUAUAGGUAUAAGAUGGGCAUGCGUAUGAUUAGCUAGUUGGUAAGGUAACGGCUUACCAAGGCGACGAUCAUUAGGGGUUCUGAGAGGAAGGUCCCCCACACUGGUACUGAGACACGGACCAGACUCCUACGGGAGGCAGCAGUGAGGAAUAUUGGUCAAUGGGCGCAAGCCUGAACCAGCCAUGCCGCGUGCAAGGAAGACGGCCUUAUGGGUUGUAAACUGCUUUUACAUAAGACUAACCGUAUAUUUGCGAAUAUACCUGAAUGUAUUAUGAGAAUAAGGAUCGGCUAACUCCGUGCCAGCCGCGGC